rnacentral:misc_RNA from 1 species
ACGUGAUUGGUACGUCGAAAUUUUACACGCAAUAAACGAUAAUGUAUCAGAAUGUGUAACUAAAUACGAUAGCAAUACUAGCGUGCAAUUAAUAAGUGCUUUAUUUAAUCUUCUACGCUCGCAUCGAUCAACGUGGUUUCUCGAAUAGUUGGUGGAAUCUGUUCUAUUUUCUAUAACAGUACGAGAACAGUUUAUUUCAAAGACAACGAUAGAAAUCGCUUUAGUGAUAUGUAAACUCGAUACAGAUUAUAUUUGCCUUCUUUUUAUCGUUUCGUCAUAUUCCCGUUUCAUUGGAAAAAGAAAUCCCAAGUUUUGAGAAGUAGAGAAUUUUUAACAUAAAAUGAAAACCAGAAAAUAUGUUAGAAGCAACCUUGUAUUCUUUCCGAAUUAAAAAUCUUCUUAACGAAAGA